ACUCCUACGGGAGGCAGCAGUGGGGAAUAUUGGACAAUGGGCGCAAGCCUGAUCCAGCCAUGCCGCGUGUGUGAAGAAGGCCUUUUGGUUGUAAAGCACUUUAAGCGAGGAGAAGGCUACUUGGAUUAAUACUCUAGGAUAGUGGACGUUACUCGCAGAAUAAGCACCGGCUAACUCUGUGCCAGCAGCCGCGGUAAU
rnacentral:rRNA from 1 species